GAUGAACGCUGGCGGCGUGCCUAAUACAUGCAAGUCGAGCGAACGGACGAGAAGCUUGCUUCUCUGAUGUUAGCGGCGGACGGGUGAGUACAACUUGAUAACCCACCUCUAAAAACUGGGUUACUUCCGGGAAACCGGGGCAAUACCCGCUUAUAAUUUUAACCCGCAGGGUUCAAAGUUAAAGAACGUUCUUGCGUUCAUUAUUGAUUGUACCCCUGUUGCAUUAGUUAGUUGGUAAGGUAACGGAUUACCAAGGCAACGAUGCAUAGCCGACCUGAGAGGGUGAUCGGCCAAACUGGAACUGAGACACGGUCCAGACUCCUACGGGAGGCAGCAGUAGGGAAUCUUCCGCAAUGGGCGAAAGCCUGACGGAGCAACGCCGCGUGAGUGAUGAAGGUCUUCGGAUCGUAAAACUCUGUUAUUAGGGAAGAACAUAUGUGUAAGUAACUGUGCACAUCUUGACGGUACCUAAUCAGAAAGCCACGGCUAACUACGUG
rnacentral:rRNA from 1 species